rnacentral:rRNA from 1 species
CCAGGGUGCUGCAGUGGGGAAUAUUGGACAAUGGGCGAAAGCCUGAUCCAGCCAUGCCGCGUGUGUGAAGAAGGCCUUCGGGUUGUAAAGCACUUUCAGUGGGGAAGAAAGCCUUGGGGCUAAUACCCUCGAGGAAGGACAUCACCCACAGAAGAAGCACCGGCUAACUCCGUGCCAGCAGCCGCGGUAAUACGGAGGGUGCGAGCGUUAAUCGGAAUUACUGGGCGUAAAGCGCGCGUAGGCGGUCUGAUAAGCCGGUUGUGAAAGCCCCGGGCUCAACCUGGGAACGGCAUCCGGAACUGUCAGGCUAGAGUGCAGGAGAGGAAGGUAGAAUUCCCGGUGUAGCGGUGAAAUGCGUAGAGAUCGGGAGGAAUACCAGUGGCGAAGGCGGCCUUCUGGACUGACACUGACGCUGAGGUGCGAAAGCGUGGGUAGCAAACAGGAUUAGAUACCCUAGUAGUC